GUGCUUGCUUUGGCAGCACAUAUACUAAAAUUGGAACGAUACAAAGAAGAUUAGCAUGGCCCCUGUGCAAGGAUGACAUGUAAAUUCAUGAAGCAUCCUGUAUUUUU
ensembl:snRNA U6 U6 spliceosomal RNA